rnacentral:rRNA from 1 species
ACGUAGGGCGCAAGCGUUGUCCGGAAUUAUUGGGCGUAAAGAGCUCGUAGGCGGUUUGUUAAGUCUGCUGUGAAAGCCCUGGGCUCAACCCGGGGGUGGCUUGUGGGUACGGGCGGACUAGAGUGCAGUAGGGGAGACUGGAAUUCCUGGUGUAGCGGUGAAAUGCGUAGAUAUCAGGAGGAACACCGAUGGCGAAGGCAGGUAUCUGGGCUGUAACUGACGCUGAGGAGCGAAAGUGUGGGGAGCAAACAG